UACGUAGGGUGCAAGCGUUGUCCGAAUUUAUUGGGCGUAAAGCGUCCGCAGGCUUUUCAUCGCAUCUUGCUUUAAAGACCAGGGCUCAACCUUGGAAGGGGGCAAGAGAUGGGUGGAAUUGAGACUCAUAGGGGUUACCGGAACUUACGGUGUAGGAGUGAAAUCCGUUGAUAUCGUAAGGAACGUCAAGGGCGAAGGCAGGUAACUGGGUGAGUUCUGACGCUAAGGGACGACAGCUAGGGGAGCGAAAGGG
rnacentral:rRNA from 1 species